UACGUGGGGGGCAAGCGUUGUCCGGAAUUAUUGGGCGUAAAGCGCGCGCAGGCGGCUUUGUAAGUCUGGUGUUUAAUCUCAGAGCUCAACUCUGAUUCGCAUCGAAAACUGCAAGGCUUGAGUACAGAAGAGGAAAGUGGAAUUCCACGUGUAGCGGUGAAAUGCGUAGAGAUGUGGAGGAACACCAGUGGCGAAGGCGACUUUCUGGGCUGUAACUGACGCUGAGGCGCGAAAGCGUGGGGAGCAAACAGG
rnacentral:rRNA from 1 species